rnacentral:rRNA from 1 species
AUUGAACGCUGGCGGCAUGCCUUACACAUGCAAGUCGAACGGCAGCACGGGUGCUUGCACCUGGUGACGAGUGGCGAACGGGUGAGUAAUACAUCGGAACGUACCUUAUCGUGGGGGAUAACGCAGCGAAAGCUGUGCUAAUACCGCAUACGCCCUGAGGGGGAAAGCGGGGGAUCGCAAGACCUCGCGCGAUUAGAGCGGCCGAUGCCUGAUUAGCUUGUUGGUGGGGUAAAAGCCCACCAAGGCGACGAUCAGUAGCUGGCCUGAGAGGACGAUCAGCCACACUGGGACUGAGACACGGCCCAGACUCCUACGGGAGGCAGCAGUGGGGAAUUUUGGACAAUGGGGGCAACCCUGAUCCAGCAAUGCCGCGUGAGUGAAGAAGGCCUUCGGGUUGUAAAGCUCUUUUGUCAGGGAAGAAACACCGGCUCUAACACAGUCCGGGAAUGACGGUACCUGAAGAAUAAGCACCGGCUAACUACGUGCCAGCAGCCGCCGUAA